rnacentral:rRNA from 1 species
AUAUCAAUAAGCGGAGGAAAAGAAACCAACAGGGAUUGCCCCAGUAACGGCGAGUGAAGCGGCAACAGCUCAAAUUUGAAAUCUGGCCCUCGGGUCCGAGUUGUAAUUGGCAGAGGAAGCUUUUGGCGAGGGUCCUUCCAAGUCCCUUAGAAUAGGGCGCCGCAGAGGGUGAGAGCCCCGUACGGUUGGCCCCCGAGCCUGUGUAAAGCUCCUUCAACGAGUCGAGUAGUUUGGGAAUGCUGCUCUAAUCGGGAGGUAAAUUUCUUCUAAAGCUAAAUACCGGCCAGAGACCGAUAGCGCACAAGUAGAGUGAUCGAAAGAUGAAAAGCACUUUGAAAAGAGGGUGAAAAAGUACGUGAAAUUGUUGAAAGGGAAGCGCUUGUGACCAGACCUGCGCCCGGCGAAUCACCCAGCCCCGGCUGGUGCACUUCUCCGGCGCAGGCCAGCACCGGUCCGCCGCGGGGGACAAAGGCGGGGGGAAUGUGGCUCCCUCCUGGGAGUGUUAUAGCCCCCCGUGUAAUGCCCUGGGGCGGACCGAGGUUCGCGCUCUGCAAGGGUG